AACGAACGCUGGCGGCAUGCCUAACACAUGCAAGUCGAACGAGACCUUCGGGUCUAGUGGCGCACGGGUGCGUAACGCGUGGGAACCUGCCCUUAGGUUCGGAAUAACUCCCCGAAAGGGGUGCUAAUACCGGCUAAUGUCUUCGGACCAAUGAUUUAUCGCCUUUGGAUGGGCCCGCGUUGGAUUAGCUAGUUGGUAGGGUAAAAGCCUACCAAGGCGACGAUCCAUAGCUGGUCUGAGAGGAGGAUCAGCCACACUGGAACUGAGACACGGCCCAGACUCCUACGGGAGGGAGCAGUGGGGAAUAUUGGACGAGGGGCGAAAGCCUGAUCCAGCAAUGCCGCGUGAGUGAUGAAGGCCUUAGGAUUGUAAAGCUCGUUUACCCGGAAUGAUAAUGACAGUACCGGGAGAAUAAGCGCCGGCUAACUCCGUG
rnacentral:rRNA from 1 species